GUAGUCCACGCCGUAAACGAUGGGCACUAGGUGCUUGGGGGAGCGACCCUCUGAGUGCCGGCGCUAACGCAUUAAGUGCCCCGCCUGGGGAGUACGGCCGCAAGGCUGAAACUCAAAGGAAUUGACGGGGGCCCGCACAAGCGGUGGAGCAUGUGGUUUAAUUCGACGCAACGCGAAGAACCUUACCUAGGCUUGACAUGCUGGUGAAACCCUCCAGAAACGGAGGGCCUCCUUCGGGACACCAGCACAGGUGCUGCAUGGCUGUCGUCAGCUCGUGUCGUGAGAUGUUGGGUUAAGUCCCGCAACGAGCGCAACCCCCGUUCCCAGUUGCUAACGGGUAAUGCCGAGGACUCUGGGAAGACUGCCGGUGCCAAACCGGA
rnacentral:rRNA from 1 species